rnacentral:rRNA from 1 species
UACAGAGGUCCCAAGCGUUGUUCGGAUUCAUUGGGCGUAAAGGGUGCGUAGGUGGCGCCGUAAGUGGGGUGUGAAAUUUCGGAGCUUAACUCCGAAACUGCAUUCCAUACUGCGGUGCUUGAGGACUGGAGAGGAGACUGGAAUUUACGGUGUAGCAGUGAAAUGCGUAGAGAUCGUAAGGAAGACCAGUGGCGAAGGCGGGUCUCGGGACAGUUCCUGACACUGAGGCACGAAGGCCAGGGGAGCAAACGGG